rnacentral:rRNA from 1 species
GACGAACGCUGGCGGCGUGCUUAACACAUGCAAGUCGAACGAUGAAGCCCAGCUUGCUGGGUGGAUUAGUGGCGAACGGGUGAGUAACACGUGAGUAACCUGCCCUUGACUCUGGGAUAAGCGUUGGAAACGACGUCUAAUACCGGAUACGAGCUUCCACCGCAUGGUGAGUUGCUGGAAAGAAUUUUGGUCAAGGAUGGACUCGCGGCCUAUCAGCUUGUUGGUGAGGUAAUGGCUCACCAAGGCGACGACGGGUAGCCGGCCUGAGAGGGUGACCGGCCACACUGGGACUGAGACACGGCCCAGACUCCUACGGGAGGCAGCAGUGGGGAAUAUUGCACAAUGGGCGAAAGCCUGAUGCAGCAACGCCGCGUGAGGGACGACGGCCUUCGGGUUGUAAACCUCUUUUAGCAGGGAAGAAGCGAAAGUGACGGUACCUGCAGAAAAAGCACCGGA